UACGGGGGGGGGCAAGCGUUGUUCGGAAUUACUGGGCGUAAAGGGCUCGUAGGCGGCCAACUAAGUCGGAUGUGAAAUCCCCAGGCUUAACCUGGGAACUGCAUCCGAUACUGGAUGGCUUGAAUCCGGGAGAGGGAUGCAGAAUUCUAGGUGUAGCGGUGAAAUGCGUAGAUAUCUGGAGGAAUACCGGUGGCGAAGGCGGCAUCCUGGACCGGCAUUGACGCUGAGGAGCGAAAAGCUAGGGGAGCAAACGGGG
rnacentral:rRNA from 1 species